rnacentral:rRNA from 1 species
AUUGAACGCUGGCGGCAGGCCUAACACAUGCAAGUCGAGCGGAUGAAGGGAGCUUGCUCCUGGAUUCAGCUGCGGACGGGUGAGUAAUGCCUAGGAAUCUGCCUUGUAGUGGGGGAUAACGUCCGGAAACGGGCGCUAAUACCGCAUACGUCCUGAGGGAGAAAGUGGGGGAUCUUCGGACCUCACGCUAUCAGAUGAGCCUAGGUCGGAUUAGCUAGUUGGUGGGGUAAAGGCCUACCAAGGCGACGAUCCGUAACUGGUCUGAGAGGAUGAUCAGUCACACUGGAACUGAGACACGGUCCAGACUCCUACGGGAGGCAGCAGUGGGGAAUAUUGGACAAUGGGCGAAAGCCUGAUCCAGCCAUGCCGCGUGUGUGAAGAAGGUCUUCGGAUUGUAAAGCACUUUAAGUUGGGAGGAAGGGCAGUAAGUUAAUACCUUGCUGUUUUGACGUUACCAAAAGAAUAAGCACCGGCUAACUUCGUG